rnacentral:rRNA from 1 species
GACGAACGCUGGCGGCGUGCUUAACACAUGCAAGUCGAACGGAAAGGCCUGCAGCUUGCUGCGGGUACUCGAGUGGCGAACGGGUGAGUAACACGUGGGUGAUCUGCCUUGCACUUCGGGAUAAGCUUGGGAAACUGGGUCUAAUACCGGAUAGGACAGCUGUUUAGUGUCAGUUGUGGAAAGUUUUUUCGGUGCAAGAUGAGCUCGCGGCCUAUCAGCUUGUUGGUGGGGUAAUGGCCUACCAAGGCGUCGACGGGUAGCCGGCCUGAGAGGGUGUACGGCCACAUUGGGACUGAGAUACGGCCCAGACUCCUACGGGAGGCAGCAGUGGGGAAUAUUGCACAAUGGGCGGAAGCCUGAUGCAGCGACGCCGCGUGGGGGAUGAAGGCCUUCGGGUUGUAAACUCCUUUCGACAGGGACGAAGCGUAAGUGACGGUACCUGUAUAAGAAGCACCGGCUAACUACGUGCCAGCAGCCGCGGUAAUACGUAGGGUGCGAGCGUUGUCCGGAAUUACUGGGCGUAAAGAGCUCGUAGGUGGUUUGUCGCGUCGUCUGUGAAAUUCCGGGGCUUAACUCCGGGCGUGCAGGCGAUACGGGCUGACUUGAGUGCUGUAGGGGAGACUGGAAUUCCUGGUGUAGCGGUGAAAUGCGCAGAUAUCAGGAGGAACACCGAUGGCGAAGGCAGGUCUCUGGGCAGUAACUGACGCUGAGGAGCGAAAGCAUGGGUAGCGAACAGGAUUAGAUACCCUGGUAGUCCAUGCCGUAAACGGUGGGCGCUAGGUGUAGGGGGCUUCCACGUCUUCUGUGCCGUAGCUAACGCAUUAAGCGCCCCGCCUGGGGAGUACGGCCGCAA